ACAGCACAACAGAUCCUGCAGAUGGUACAGACGUUCUCUUUGACGUACAAUUUGAAGAAGAGCAUUCUCCAUCACCUCGCGAUCAUAAGGCUGCCCACACUGGGGCACGGCACAGCGCCAUUCGUCAGCCAGUAAGGCUGAGUCACGGCAUAAAUCCAGGUCUCUGCAAUCGUUGCAGUAGCUGUCAAAAGAUCAUGGGCAUCAGCAACAAGUUUGAGUUUCAAACAAAGAUCACAUUUGGUAAGAUGAAAGAAGGGCAUGGAUCAUGAAACUCAGCUUCUGGAGCAAACUCCCUAAUGCGUGCAUAUUUCAGCAGAUUCUUUCUUAGCACCUGUAUAAUAAGGGUACAUGAAUGAACCUAUUACUUAUUGUAUGACAAUGUAAUAUCAAUUCAGUUAGUUCACACAUCUGAAAAUUGUAGAAGCA